rnacentral:sRNA from 1 species
GCCGGGCGUUGUGGCGGGCGCCUGUGGUCCCAGCUACUUGGGAGGCAGAGGCAGGAGACUCGCUUGAGCCCAGGAGUUGGAGGUUGCUGUGAGCUGUAAUGCCACGGCACUCUACCCAGGGGGACAGCUUGAGGCUCUGUCUCAAAAAAAAAAAAAAAAUAAUAAUAAUUUUUCCAUUGUGACAUAUAAUGAGGUUAGGUUCUAGGCUCGGGUAAUUAUUAUUAUUAUUUUUUUUUUGAGACAGAGCCUCAAGCUAUCCCCCUGGGUAGAGUGCUGUGGCACCACAGCUCACAGCAACCUCCAAC